CCGAAGUAUCGAUAACGUCCGCAAAAGUAAAAAAAAAAAAAUCAAAAUGUCACGAAUUAUUUUAUUAUUAUCAAUAAUUUUAAUCAUCGGCUGCAUCAAUGCUGAGGAAUCAUGUCAAGGCCAGUGGUGUUCUUGGGGUUAUUCUUGUGGCUGCCCGGGUUUUCUAUGUACCGAAAUUGUAAACGGUUUUUGCACAAACAAAGGUAGUCCAUUUAAAAAUGGAGGUCCAUAAAAUAUAUUUUUCCAGAAAGGAGUAUUGGUUUUAUUAAAAGUUCGUCUUGGGAAAAUUGUAAU